GAUGAACGCUGGCGGCGUGCCUAAUACAUGCAAGUCGAGCGAAUGGAUUAAGAGCUUGCUCUUAUGAGGUUAGCGGCGGACGGGUGAGUAACACGUGGGUAACCUGCCCAUAAGACUGGGAUAACUCCGGGAAACCGGGGCUAAUACCGGAUAACAUUUUGAAACGCAUGGUUCGAAAUUGAAAGGCGGCUUCGGCUGUCACUUAUGGACGGACCCGCGUCGCAUUAGCUAGUUGGUGAGGUAACGGCUCACCAAGGCAACGAUGCGUAGCCGACCUGAGAGGGUGAUCGGCCACACUGGGACUGAGACACGGCCCAGACUCCUACGGGAGGCAGCAGUAGGGAAUCUUCCGCAAUGGACGAAAGUCUGACGGAGCAACGCCGCGUGAGUGAUGAAGGCUUUCGGGUCGUAAAACUCUGUUGUUAGGGAAGAACAAGUGCUAGUUGAAUAAGCUGGCACCUUGACGGUACCUAACCAGAAAGCCACGGCUAACUACGUGCCAGCCGCCGCAGUAA
rnacentral:rRNA from 1 species